GAUUGCACUCAAAAUUUAAAAUAUGGGGACAAAAGGGCUUCAUUUUUGAAACCGGGAACAAAAUGAAAAUUCCCACCCCAACUUGGGGACUAAAAAGGUAUUUUAACCAAAAAAAAUACUUACAUAAAUAAAAAAAUUAAAGCACCUAAUUUUUUUUAUAAUUUUAAAUAAAAUUUUAAGAUUUAGAAUUUUUAUUGUUUGAUUUUAUUGAGAAUUUUCUUGUAUUUUGAUUUGUUUUUUCUUUAGUAAAGGGAAACAAGUUAAUGAAUUUCUACCAAAAAAAAAUUAAAUGGCCACGAAACAAUGUUACGAAGUAGUCUUAAAAGGUAAAGGAAGGAUGCUCAUAAGUCUUGGUGCAAGUUGUACCCGUCGGCUGUAAUAUAUAUAGUGAAGAUAAUGAAACUAAAGAGAUUUUGAAUAAACUUUUUUCGGAAGGUGAAUAUGUCAAUGACUCAACUCUUUACAAAAGUAAAUCGUUUAAUAAUGAGUGUUUUUUUAGUUGGGGCUAGUGCAAAGAUGACAGGGAAAAUGUUUGAGUAAGAGUGAUGAAGGAGAAAGGAUUGAGAGGAAUGAAGGAGGUGAGUAAGGGUUUGAAGUUUCUUUUUUUAGUUUUGAGAAUGAAAAUUAUUAAAAUAAGGCAAGUGUUUCUGAUUUUUUUCAAUUGGGGCUAGAGUAAGGAUAAUAGAGAAAAGGUUUGAUUAAAAGAGAUGAAAGAGAAAGGAUUGAGAAGAAUGAGAGAGGUGGGUAAGGGUUUGGGGGUUUCUUUUUUAUUUUUNUAAUUUUGAGAAUGAAAAUUAUUAAAAUACCCUUAACCUUAAAACUUAGAGUUCAUGAUAUAUAAGGGUAUUUUUGUAUACUGAAACCCGGUACACAUUGCUAAAAUGUACCAACUGAAAAACAGGCGUACACAAGUUAGCAAACCCC
rnacentral:lncRNA from 1 species